rnacentral:piRNA from 1 species
ACGAAACAAAAAUGGAACCUGCCUU